rnacentral:antisense_RNA from 1 species
CAAAAUGAUACAGACACUUUGGAAGACACUUUGGCAGUUUCUUACAAAACUAACAUACUCUUACCACAUGAUCCAGCAAUUAUACUCCUUGGUAUUUACCCAAAUGAGCUGAAAACAUAUCCACACAGAAACCUACACAGGAUUUUAUAACUGCUUUAUUCAUAGUUGUCAAAACUUGGAAGCAACCAAGAUGUCCUCCAGUAGGCGAAUGGAAAAACACACUGUGGUACAUCCAGAUAGUGGAAUAUUAUUCAGUACUAAAAGGAAAUGAGCUGUCAAGCCAUGAAAAGACAAGGAGGAAAUUUAAAUGCAGAUUAUGAAGUGAAAGAAACCAAUCUGAAAAGGCUACCUGGGUGCGGUGGCUCAGGACUGUAAUUCCAGCUACAUGAGAGGAUUGCUUGAGGCCAGGAGUUUGAGACCAGCCUGAACAACAUAAUAGACUGGGAGCUCCAUGAGGUCUGAGACAACCUGAAGAUGCCCAGCUCAGCAGAGACUGGCUACGGCAAUCACUCAGUAACUGUUUGUUGAAUUGGACAUAAUAGAAGAGUUGAAGAAUUUUAAACAAGUCACCAUCAGUCCAGUGGAUUCCUCAAAGCAAACCUGGAAAUCUCGGCAUGAGUUGGAUUUAAGGCAGUACAUUUUCAGCUCCUGAAAAUUUGAACAGUUUCUCAAGAGAACAACUUGAAACAGAAAGGCAAGGAUGUAGAUGUGGUUGUAGAAGAUGAUGUCUGCGGCCACCAAACUGUCCACUGUGAAGAUAAACCAUGCAUGUUUAGUAGGCAGUGGCUCCUCUUCCC